AAAACAUGUAGCGAACCUCCAUACAGGUAGGGGGAGCUCUAUAGCAGAUGCCUUGAUAAAACCCACUAGUCUCCUGAUUAAGAGUAAUACAACUACACUAGUGAUACUACUGUUUGCUAUGUCUUGCAGUCUAUUCCAGUAUAUUCUCUUGAUAUACUGUAUGUUAGUGGGAGGGUACAGGGGGUUGUAUGUGUACAUGUGUGUACAUUUGUGUGUAAUAAGAUGCGUGAAUGCGUACCGUUGCAUUCACACAUUAUUAGGGAACAUGGGCAUAGGUUGGGUCAGUUGGUCGUCGGCCAUUGCGGUGCCGCGUGGCUCUUGGCUCUCGCAGUCACUCAAUUCUGUAGCAGACGGCCCAUUGGAUAAAUGUGUAGUUGUUUGAGUAUCACUUGCCAAUCAGGAGACAAUCAGGAAGUACUUUUCCACUGUUUCCUUUGGAAAAGGCAGUUUCACAGUUUGGAAAUCAUACUGUGGUUACUACAUAUGACAAAGUCCUUUAGCACACAAAGACACAACAUAGACCUACAAGGGACCUCUGACAAUCAAGAUACUACAAGUGGGGUCGAGUUCAAUUCCAUUUAGAUUCAGUCACUUCGGGAGAUGAAUUGAAAUCAACUUUUUUUUCUAUGAGGAUUUCUUUCAAUUCAUGAAUUGGAUUUCAAUUCUCUCUAUGAACUGUGAGGUGAAACUGAAUUGCACCAAAUUUCUGUGUCUUCAGAAUCAGACAGACAGAGUCAAACAUAAUCCUGGCUAAAUAAACAAGUAGAUACGAUUACAGACACUGAAACCUAACCUUUUUAGGCUGUUGCCCUAUCGAGCUCCCUCAAUCCUUGGUCCCUCCCUUUUCCCCUUACCUGGAGGUUCAGACCACACCCCCUACCACGGACACACUCUCUUUUCUCAACCUCUCCACCUGAUUGGCUCUCCACAGAGGCUGCUGCGCAUGGACUUGCCGGUUGCCGAGGACAACUCAGUGCAUUUCAACUCCACCCUCAUGGCUCUGAUUCGGACAGCGCUCGAUAUCAAGAUUGCCAAGGGAGGAGCUGACAAACAUCAGAUGGACGCUGAGCUAAGGAAAGAAAUGAUGGCCAUUUGGCCCAACCUCUCUCAGAAGAACCUAGACCUGCUGGUCACGCCACACAAGUCAGCCACAGACCUGACGGUGGGGAAGAUCUACGCUGCCAUGAUGAUCAUGGAGUAUUACAGACAGAGCAAGGCCAAGAAGCUCCAGGCCCUACGCGAGGAGCAGAACCGAACACCGUUAAUGUUUCAGCGCAUGGAGCCGCCCUCCCCCGGGGGAGGAGAAGGGGGAGGAGGGGGAGGCCCCGACGGGACGGGAGGAGGGAUGCCAGGGGUCAACGGCCUCCCCGCCACACAGCACGACCCCAACAGCAUACCUCCAGAGGGUGGGAUGACAGAGAGCCAGUCGUGGGUAACAGCUAAAGCUCAGGAGAUGUUUAACAAGACGGGCAACUGGAGCCCAGAGAGACCCUACCCCGACCAUCUCCAUGACAACAGACACAACCCCCAGACGCUAGAGAUGAGAAAGAUGGGGCGGGACGGGUACUCGGAAACUGAGCCCUGUCACCCAAUGCGAAUGGACAGGCAUGGUCGGACCAUCUCCAUGCCCCGCCUCUCAGACGACAACCAACGGAGACGUCACAGGCCCCGUGGACAUAACCACCUCAGUACCAUAACAGACACCAGCCCCAUGCGUCGGUCCACCUCUUCUCUGGUCCACGGGCGUUCUGGCAGGGAGAGAGAGGGGUGAGGCUGGAUGACUACAGCUUGGAGAGGGUAGAAGGAGAGGGGAGGCACGGUGGGGGAGCAGGAGGGGGACAACGCAGGGACAGGAGGGACAGGAGCCACCGCACCUCUCAGACGGUCCCUUACCAGAUACACAGACGCAGACACAGGGUUGGGCACAGACCUGAGCACUACCACCCAGUCUGGAGAACUCCCCCCCAAAGAGCGUGAACGCGAACGCGGUCGAGCCAAAGACCGCAGGCACCACCAUCAUCACCACCACCACAGUGGCUCCAUGGAGAAAGAGGGGCGCUUCGGGCCAGACAGACACGGGCCAGAGUUCACCCACAGACACCCCCAUGACCGGGGGGACAGACACUGGUCCCGCUCUCCUAGUGAGGGGCCCGACGGACGGGGCCACAGACAGGGCAGUAGCUCGGUGAGCGGCAGCCCCGUCCCCUCCACGUCCGGUACCUCCACCCCCCGCCGCGGGCGCCGCCAGCUGCCCCAGACCCCCGCCGUGCCACGUCCCCACGUCACCUACUCCCCAGCCAUACGACACCCCAAGCCCACCUACGGAGCAGGUCCCCCUGGACGACUCCGCUCCCCCUCCCCCCGACACUUCUCCCCCCCAGAGCACGACGGAGGGGGUUAUCACCGCCCGCCAUCGCGUCACGUUUCCCCGCUUGAGCACGGAGGGUCGAGGCACGGGUCUCCGAGAUCGGCCCGGCACCAGUCGGGGUCUCGUUCACCUCCGCCCCACCAUGGGUCACCCCGGUCCCCCCGCCACGGGCGCUGGAGCGGUCCCCCUCCCGGGGAUAGUCUGGAGAGCGAGGGCGGCCCAUUCUAUGAGCGUGACUGCGAGUACGAGCGCCAGCAUGAGCCGCCCGCCUACGAGCAGAGCCUCAGCAACCCACAUCCCCACGGCAACCCCCACCCGCACGGCAACCCACACCCGCACGGCAACCCGCACCCACGCUCCCCCAGGACUGCCCGGCACGGGGGCGGCGUGGGCCCACCACCUCCACUUGCUCCCACUCACCCCCGACGAGUCCCAAAUGGUUACCGCUCGUCUUCGCCCUCCCCGCACCGGCGAGGGCCCCCACAUCAACACCCCAAUCCAGGGGGACCACCCCACCGGUCCCCCCCUCAUCACCGGGUCCCCCAUGGAGGCCCCAGAGGCCCCCGGAAGGGACUGCACGAACCCUACAGCGAGACGGACGAGGACGACUGGUGCUAGCACAGCGAAGGAACAGAAGAACGAGGGAGGAGAGGAAGAGAGGAAAAGGAGGGAGGAGAGGAGUCUCUCCGUCUCCCCCGUCCUCUGUUCUUCGUUAUGCAGACUUAAAUGAAGGGUAAAGGGAUGCAGAAGGGGGUGAGGAAAGGAAAGGAGGAGAGGAGAAUUUGGGAGAAGUCUCUCCAUCUCUCUACCUCCACCCCUGAGACUCAGACUUGGAUGGAAUGAUAAGGGAUGGAGGGAUGGUUAGAGGAGAGGAGGCACACUGUGUGGGUGUGUGAGACUCUAAACUCAGAGCAGACAUGACAAAGAGAGACAGCUAUAAGGCAGAACUACGCACCUCUCCUCUUCUCCUCUGUCUCAACUACCAUACCCAGAGUUCUCAGCGUGCCCAGGGGGGAGUAGACCGAGGGAUGGUGGAGAGGUGCUGACGGAGGUGUGGAGAGGGAAGAAAGAACAAAAGAAUGAAAGGAAGGGAGGAGCAUGUAUAUUAAGUUACAAGUGGCCAAUGAAUGGUAAAUCAAAGCCCCUCUCCCAGACUGUUUAGGGGAUAGGUGGGUUAGUUAAGUUAAGCUAAACCUGGGUGCUCUUGCUGUUCUGUCAUUCUAUUCUACUAGCCUGAUAAGUGUUAGGAGCUAACAGCUAAACGCUAGCUAGCUAACACUGCUCUUGGUCUAACCUAGACGGACAUGUUUAAAAAACAACAAGGAAAACCCAUGCCAGGACCCCCUAUCCUUAUACACGCCAAGCUAUGCCUCCAGAAAAAUAUAACUUGAAGACUAAAGAACAGAAAACAAAAACAAACUUUGAAAAAAAAGAGGAGAAAAAAAGGGAGAACAACCACUUUAACUUAAACUUUCCUUAAAGGGACCGGACUAGAACCAGGAAGCUCCGCCUCUACUGCAAAAACCAGCCAAUGACAGAGCUGGCUGAUAUUUGAUGAGUUUUAUCAUCUCCUGUUUACUGUUACAGACUCACGAAAUGCUGACGACGGACCUGGUGUGACCUCACGUCCGGUGGGUGGGGCCUGGUGUGACAUCACGUCCUGUUCCGGUGGGUGGGGCCACAGGGGAGGGGCUGGGGGCAGAGUUAUGGACCCUUAGGGGGCGUAGUUUGUUUGCCCCCACUAUCUUCUCUCCCCCUUCCUCUCUCCUCCAUCCUGCCGAAAAAGAAAGGACAGGGAAGGAAAAUGAUGUGAGGAGGAGCGGAAAGACAGAAAGGAAGGGAGGGGAAAGACCAUUUCUUCAGUAUUUCUUCUAUCGAUUACUUCUUCUUCUUCUAGUUCUUCUUCUUGGACAUUGGAGCUUGGUUCUUCUGUUGCGUUCGCUCAAGCCUCUGUUAAUCCGUUAUGAUGCAUGAAAAAAAUACCUAGAGAGAAAAUCUACUGUUGGGGAUAUGGGGGCAUAUUGGGUUUAUAGAACCCUUACAUUUUAGAUUUUGAUUGAAGAAGUUCUCUUUUUCUGACUCUCUCUCUCUCUCUCUCUCUCUCUCUCUCUCUCUCUCUCUCUCUCUCUCUCUCUCUCUGACUCUGUCUAUCAUCAUGCAUUUGUUUAUUGAGUAAAUAUUUGUUCUAUAUCACCCUAAGGAUCCGAUGGACAACCUUUUUUAAGUUUGAUUUCUGCCCAUUAGGGUUUUAAAGCUACCAUUUUCUUAUCUUGAAAGUACUCCUAAGUUCCUGAGAUACUCCUAAAUUUUACUAAGAUACUCCUGUUGUACUAAGAUAUUCCUAAAUUGUUUUGAGGAAUAAGUAAGAAUUGAGAGAGCUAUGAGGAGAGAGAACUUCAACUUCUUUAAAUAAUUGAUUUGUAUUGUUAAUAAUGAUGAUAGUCCUAUAAAUACUGAUAUCAAUGUCAAUGCAAAACGAUGAAUGAUGAUAGUUGUUUGCCGUAGAUCUGUUGUCAUGUUUUUUGGAGUUUCAAUCUGCUGUGUCAUCUAGUUUUCAUCGUUUAUUUUCCUUGGGUUCUGUUCAAACUGUUUCCAAACUGUUCCCAAACUGUUCCAAAACGCCUUUAACUGGGUCCGAUACAUGCAACACGCAUAAACUUUUCAGGGAGGGGUUAGAUGUCGGAUUGUGAUUGUGAGCAACACAGAUGGAACUGUGUGGCGUUGUGUAACGCAGCUCUUUACCUCUGAUAGGUCCCCCCUCAGUGGUAGACAGAGAACCGGGGACACGUUCAGUAGCCAAAUGUUGUCAAACGUGGCAGAUGGAAAUGUCAUUAACAGAGCUGACGUGGUUCUUCAUUCUACGUGUAAGAGAUGCAUGUUUGUUCUAAAUAGCAUUUUUCUAUCCAAGCGUUCCAAAAACAUUGUGUCCUGCUGAGUGCGCCCCAGUCAUAGCCAAAUGAACCGGUCAACCAACCAUCAGACCUCCACACAGUAUCUGAUUUACAGCUAGCUGUGGACCAUAGAGUUAGAAAGAGGACUUAUACUGGGUUAUAUCCACCUAGAGCCCUCUUUCUACCUCUAUGUUGUGAACGAGCUCCACCUCACAUCCCCAAGAGCUCUCCACUCGCUGUCGAGUCUCUCUGUCUUUCUGAUUUUCCAUGACAUGUUUAGCAUUGAGCUGCUUGCUUUACCAAGCCAGAGGAUAACAUUCUAGAAACAUUUUAGAAUCUCUAAGACAUUCUAGAAACUCUUGUCUAGACUCUAGAAACUCUAGAGCAUUCUUUAGACAGGUUACCUAACAUGAUUGUUUCCAGAUGUUUUGGAUUAAAACAUAUUUAUUUUGCUAUGAUUACAGUUAUGUAGAUUGUAACAGAUAUUCCCUAUCAUAACUCGUAAAAUGAUAGAUACAAUAUAGAUAUAUAGAGAUAUAAAAGUUUAUAUAUUAUAGAGAGAAAAACAUACUUUUAUUUACUUCAAACACUCUAGCUAAGUGGCUAGAGCUCAGAAACUCUCCAUUGAAAUCAGCUAUACAGAUUCAAAUUGCACUUUGUCACUGUAGCUCCACACAAUAUCCCACUACAAACUCUAUGCAGAUCUAUCCAACAUUCAUUUCUCCUUCACCAUUAUAGUGCAGAGUGGUUGUAGCAUUAUAAAUAAAUGACAAUAUGUACGUGGGCGCAUAGAAAUAGAAUGUGUAGAACAGGCCUCCCAAUUCAAGUCAAUGAUGGCAGAUUAUAUUUCUAUGGGUCAGAUAGUGUAGUGUCAGAUAGUGUAUAUACAGCGUUUUGAUAUAGAUGGAUAGAACUAUAUAGAUAGAGGGUAUGCCCACAUCGUUUUGCUUUUGCACAAUCACUCACGAUAUCCUUGUCCUUCAUAGCACAUCUUUCCUUUAAUUUUGACCCUCCUGCAGUGUUUUGUCCUCUCCUGCUCCCUCUAUCAUUCUCCCAAGCUGUCCAAUCCCAGGCCUAGUGUAGUGUAGUGAACUGGGAAGGGGAGCGGGGGCACAUAUACCACCCCUGCCCUCCGUAUAGGUAGGUCCAGAGAGAGAGGGGGGGACCUACAUCAGAGGGGUGUUUAUCUACCCAGAAACCCCAGUGCCUCAGUGCCUUCUGUUUUCAGAGUCACAUCUACCCUUCCCAGCUCGCCCCUCACCAUCCCCCUCGUCCCCUCCUGUGGUUGAUCAACGUCAACCACACUACGCCUUAAAGAAUCCUAGUCGCUGUCUGUGGGCAGGUAGCGGUUGGGAGCAAGGCAGUAGGGACUGGGCUUUGCUUAGUUGGUUGGAACAGUGAGUAAAGCGCAGGAAGAGAGGGGAAUGGAAACUACUUUUGAUAUGGCGGCCAUUUUGGGGAUCUCCUUCGCCCAGUUUCACACAGUGUAGUGAGAUACUGUAAUUGCAGGGGCGAAAAGGCAAUGAUUUGUUUACUUCUCAGGUGUCUCUAGAGAUAGAUAGCUAGAUAGAUAGAAUCUACACUAUAUAAUAGGUACGCUAAGGCAGUUAGUCAGUUAUAUCAUAUAAUAUGAUAUCACUUUAUAAAAUCAUAUGACAAAAUAUAGGCCUAGGGUUUGAGUUACUGUAUGGUUUGUUAUCUGGCAUGGGCAUUUGUAAUGUCUACCCUUCUCCCCUUAACCUCCAUUACAGACCACCUACCAUUCAUCAUGAAUCUGCCGCUGAAAACUACUUGCACUUGACACUGUGGGUGUCCACUGAUCAGGCAGGAAACUGACUACUCCAUUUCGGCUCAGCAGCACCAACAUGCUUGUCCAGAAUUGUAACUGCGGAUCCAAAAUGGCUGACAUCGACACACAACACUGCCGUUGUUGCAUGUUGUGUAGAUUGUGUGCUCCAACCAUUAUAAAAUGAAUGACCAUUUUAAGGGGUUUAUUUUGUUUAUUAAAAAAAAAAUCCAGAAGAUUUGUGAAAAGGAGGAUUUAGGGAAGUUUCUAGUUUACUCUCAAUCGUUCAUCCAUCCAUCCUACGUUCCUAUCCAUUUAUUUUUUGUCUUUCCUUUCUAUUUCUGAUGUGACUUCUUGAUCAACUCUCUCUAUCAUUUUUUCCUCCUCUUUGACAAAGCAGACGACCUCCGAAAGCCAAUCCAACCCCAUUCACUCAAUCAAUCAAAUGUUGUGCGUUUGUGAAAUGAUGUAAAUGAUUGGUGUGUGAGGCUAGUGUGUGUUGAUCCAGAAAUAAGGGCUCUCCUAACAAACUAAAGGGGUUUCAUGUGCAGGCACAGUAGUGCUGCCAAAAGUCAUCUGUAUGUAUCUCAAACCAUACAGUGGUGUGGUCUCCCCUUGUACAGCACUAGGUGUGUGCAUGCGUGUGUGUUGGGGUCAAGGGUCAGGGUGAGAGAGUCUAUGUGGGGGGGGGGGGGGGGGCACAGCAGGGUGUACGUUCCGCUGAGGUGAAACGUUCUGGUAUGUUCUGCUGAGGUGAAUCGUUCUGCUGAGGUGAAACGUUCCGGAAAAGAACAGAUAGAAAUGUAAUGAAUAGAGCUGACACGACACCCUUUUCUGUCAGCAUAUCCUGACAAGCAUAUCCGUUCUACUUGAUGCAUUUCUAUCUGAUAGUUUUCUGUAACAUUUGCACCCUCCUGAACAGACCCCGGUUAGAAGUAGUGUCACAAGUCACAUUAUUUCACAAAUGGCACUGGAACAUUCUUGGUUCAUUUUCUAGCUUCGCCUUCUUCCGCUUGCCAAUACAGCCUUCAUUAUGAUGUCAUCAGCUGCCAUUUUCUCAUUGACCUCCACCUGCAUCCCCCAGCUCAUUUUGGAGUGGAGGGUCACCAACCUCAUCAGGGCUGGGUUUACUGGCAUGACAGUGAGACAUUCUUCUGUGUCUGUGUGUUGUGUUCGUGUGUGUUUGCUACGUGUGUGCGUGUGUGAGUGAGAGGGUGUGUGCGUGCGUGUGUGAGUGCGUGUGUUCACACCUCAUCUACAGUAAGUUAUCUUCAGUGCCUUACACUGUACAGUAGGAACCAAAUCUUCUUUGUAGAUAGACAACACACACUGCACUGAAUAACGCUUUCAUAAUGUUUCCAUAAUGAUUUCUCUCCAACUGUUCUCUUCUCUCCAUCCAGUAUUGCCUCACCUACCAUCCUAUUCCUUCUCUCUCUGUGAUCGACGAGUAAGGUCUGGAGGGAGGGCAUGGGUGAAUGAAUAGGUGAUCGUUGUGUUGGGUCUGUCAUCAUUUUCUUUCUCUCUCUGUACAUUUGCUCUGUAAACUCUUCCAUAAACUUUCUGAAACAAUCCGACCAUGUCCAUCUAUUUUCUCUUUUAUCUCCCUACAUUUAUUUUUCAACGUUUACAUUUCAAUCAUUUAGCAGAUGUUCUAAUCCAGAGCGACAUAGUGUCGACAACAUCACUCCCACUCUUCAAUUGUGCUUGAAGUCUCACUCAAGUGAUGUCCAUUUCCAUGUAAUACCAUACAUGAACACAAGGUGGUGCACUCAUUCUUUAAACAGAGUAUACAUUGGUUGACAUAACGUACCAUUCAAAGGCCUAUGUGUAUGUUGUCAUUACAUUGUUUUCGCAGGAGAACGGGUGAGUAUCGUGUGUGUAUGUGCGCAUGUGCAUGUUUGGAGGCUUCAGUGUGUGUGUGUGUGUGUGUGUGUGUGUGUGUGUGUGUGUGUGUGUGUGUGUGUCUGCACGUGCCAAAACGCACACAGCGACAACACCGAGAUUCUUGACAACCGUGGGUGUGAUUGAUUCCCUAGAGAUGUGUGGAGCGUCUUCUACUGUCACCAUGGAAACCCUCAAGGCCCCUCACUCUUCAUUCCAUACAGUCUCCCAACCAUCACCUUAUAAUAUCCCAAUACCAUCAAUUUGUCCCAUAGACACUGAUUUAAGAUCCAUUUUCAGUGUUAGCCUCCUUAUGGUAAAGCAUAGGAGUGAGGUGGGGUGAAUCUGCAGUAGAAACCAUAUCAGUCCAGUGCCACAGUAGAAACCAUACCAUAUCAGUCCAGUGCCACAGUAGAAACCAUAUCAGUCCAGUGCCACAGUAGAAACCAUACCAUAUCAGUCCAGUGCCACAGUAGAAACCAUACCAUAUCAGUCCAGUGCCACAGUAGAAACCAUAUCAGUCCAGUGCCACAGUAGAGAACCAUACCAUAUCAGUCCAGUGCCACAGUAGAGAACCAUACCAUAGCAGUCCAGUGCCACAGUAGAAACCAUACCAUAGCAGUCCAGUGCCACAGUAGAAACCAUACCAUAUCAGUCCAGUGCCACAGUAGAAACCAUACCAUAUCAGUCCAGUGCCACAGUAGAGAACCAUACCAUAUCAGUCCAGUGCCACAGUAGAGAACCAUACCAUAUCAGUCCAGUGCCACAGUAGAGAACCAUACCAUAUCAGUCCAGUGCCACAGUAGAGAACCAUACCAUAUCAGUCCAGUGCCACAGUAGAGAACCAUACUAUAUCAGUCCAGUGCCACAGUAGAACCCAUACCAUAUCAGUCCAGUGCCACAGUAGAAACCAUACCAUAUCAGUCCAGUGCCACAGUAGAAACCAAACCAUAUCAGUCCAGUGCCACAGUAGAGAACCAUACCAUAUCAGUCCAGUGCCACAGUAGAGAACCAUACCAUAUCAGUCCAGUGCCACAGUAGAAACCAUACCAUAUCAGUCCAGUGCCACAGUAGAGAACCAUACCAUAUCAGUCCAGUGCCACAGUAGAAACCAUACCAUAUCAGUCCAGUGCCACAGUAGAGACCCAUACCAUAUCAGUCCAGUGCCACAGUAGAAACCAUACCAUAUCAGUCCAGUGCCACAGUAGAAACCAUACCAUAUCAGUCCAGUGCCACAGUAGAAACCAUACCAUAUCAGUCCAGUGCCACAGUAGAAACCAUACCAUAUCAGUCCAGUGCCACAGUAGAAACCAUACCAUAUCAGUCCAGUGCCACAGUAGAGAACCAUACCAUAUCAGUCCAGUGCCACAGUAGAAACCAUACCAUAUCAGUCCAGUGCCACAGUAGAAACCAUACCAUAUUAGUCCAGUGCCACAGUAGAAACCAUACCAUAUCAGUCCAGUGUCACAGUAGAAACCAUACCAUAUCAGUCCAGUGCCACAGUAGAAACCAUACCAUAUCAGUCCAGUGCCACAGUAGAAACCAUACCAUAUCAGUCCAGUGCCACAGUAGAAACCAUACCAUAUCAGUCCAGUGCCACAGUAGAAACCAUACCAUAUCAGUCCAGUGCCACAGUAGAGAACCAUACCAUAUCAGUCCAGUGCCACAGUAGAAACCAUACCAUAUCAGUCCAGUGCCACAGUAGAGAACCAUACCAUAUCAGUCCAGUGCCACAGUAGAGAACCAUACCAUAUCAGUCCAGUGCCACAGUAGAAACCAUAUCAGUCCAGUGCCACAGUAGAAACCAUACCAUAUCAGUCCAGUGCCACAGUAGAAACCAUACCAUAUCAGUCCAGUGCCACAGUAGAAACCAUACCAUAUCAGUCCAGUGCCACAGUAGAAACCAUACCAUAUCAGUCCAGUGCCACAGUAGAAACCAUACCAUAUCAGUCCAGUGCCACAGUAGAAACCAUACCAUAUCAGUCCAGUGCCACAGUAGAAACCAUAUCAGUCCAGUGCCACAGUAGAAACCAUACCAUAUCAGUCCAGUGCCACAGUAGAAACCAUACCAUAUCAGUCCAGUGCCACAGUAGAAACCAUACCAUAUCAGUCCAGUGCCACAGUAGAAACCAUACCAUAUCAGUCCAGUGCCACAGUAGAAACCAUACCAUAUCAGUCCAGUGCCACAGUAGAAACCAUACCAUAUCAGUCCAGUGCCACAGUAGAAACCAUAUCAGUCCAGUGCCACAGUAGAAACCAUACCAUAUCAGUCCAGUGCCACAGUAGAAACCAUACAGGACUGGAGUCAUUUUAGGAAGCAAGAAGAGAAAAUACACUACAUAACUACAUGGCAAUUUAAGAUAAAAAAGAGAAGUAUUUAAAUAACAGAUUUGCAUGUGCAAUGUGCAUGCCACUACGUGGGGUUAAAUAAGUCAACUUCAGGAAUAAAAUAAAAAUAUAUAUAUUAAGAGAAAAAAAGUAUAUUAUAUAUAUAUAUGUAUAAAUAUAUAUAGAUAGAUGUUUUUAAGAGCAAUGUGUUCCUUUGUCUUCUAUUUUUUAAAACAAAAAACUGGAGAGAAAAAACUUGGACAAAAAAAAAAUAGAUAUAAAAUCUUUAAAAAGAAGAACUUUGGUGAUGUAAUGAAAGAAUGUUUUUGUUUGUUACUUGCCAGUUAUUCACUAAAGAGGGGAACUGCGACGGCGGGGAGGUAGACCAUUUAACACUUUAAACUAAAUGUUGAAGCAUUACAUUACAACAACAAAAAUGAAGAAAAGAUCAACAUGGAAUGAAGGAAUAAAUGUUUGCUUAAUUAAAGAAAAAGACAAAUCCCUUGAUUGAGAGUCUUGAGAGCUGCCUGAUGAUUCUGGUUAUGAUGUUACCUGUUUAUUCCGGCUAUGAAAUCUCUUUUUUUCUUGCUCUCUAUCUCUCUGCUAUUUCUACCAGUGCAUUUUGUUACUCCGAACUGAACUCUUCCUAAGGAACCUGAAUAAAACCACAGAGAGAAUGCA